CCUACGGGAGGCAGCAGUGAGGAAUAUUGGUCAAUGGCCGGAAGGCUGAACCAGCCAUGCCGCGUGAAGGUCAGUGCCCUAUGGGCGUUAAACUUCUUUUGUGCGGGAGCAAUAAUGGUCACGUGUGGCCAGACGAGAGUACCGUACGAAUAAGCAUCGGCUAACUCCGUGCCAGCAGCCGCGGUAAUAAGGGGGAUGCAAGCGUUAUCCGGAUUUAUUGGGUUUAAAGGGUGCGUAGGCUGUGAGGUAAGUCAGCGGUGAAAUGCCCCCGCUCAACGGGGUGAAGGGCCAUUGAUACUGCCUGGCUGGAAUGCGGAUGCCGUGGGAGGAAUGUGUGGUGUAGCGGUGAAAUGCAUAGAUAUCACACAGAACACCGAUUGCGAAGGCAUCUCACGAAUCCGCGAUUGACGCUGAUGCACGAAAGCGUGGGUAUCAAACAGGAUUAGAUACCCGAGUAGUC
rnacentral:rRNA from 1 species